AUAAUGUUCUUUUAGAGAAGUUAAGUAUUAACUGAGGUUAAUCCUUUCUAUUGUAGAUUUUGGUUGGUUUGAAGUUUAUUCGUCAAUAUCCUUACCUUGGACGUUUGCGUCUAUGCUUUGCUGAACCACCAUAUUUUCAAAUGACAGUAAAACCUAUUUUUAAUCACGGGAUUGAUGUUACUGAAUUUCCCGGAAUCGCUGGAUGGAUGGAUAAGCUUCUGGGGAUUGUGUUUGAGCAGACACUUGUUGAGCCCAAUAUGCUGGUUGUUGACGUGGAGAAAUUUGCUUCAGCAACAACAGGUAUAU